GUGCUUGCUUGGGUAGCAUAUGUACUAAAAUCAGGACGAUACAGAAAGACUAGCGUGGCCCCCGUGAAAUGAGGACACACAACAUUGUGAAGUCCUCUAUUUUUUU
ensembl:snRNA U6 U6 spliceosomal RNA